rnacentral:rRNA from 1 species
CCUACGGGAGGCUGCAGUGAGGAAUAUUGGUCAAUGGGCGAGAGCCUGAACCAGCCAAGUCGCGUGAGGGAAGACGGUCCUAUGGAUUGUAAACCUCUUUUGCCGGGGAGCAAAAAGCGGUACGUGUACCGCAUCGAGAGUACCCGGAGAAAAAGCAUCGGCUAACUCCGUGCCAGCAGCCGCGGUAAUACGGAGGAUGCGAGCGUUAUCCGGAUUUAUUGGGUUUAAAGGGUGCGCAGGCGGCGAGUUAAGUCAGCGGUAAAAUUUCGGGGCUCAACCCCGACAAGCCGUUGAAACUGGCGUGCUAGAGUGUGCGAGAAGUAUGCGGAAUGCGUGGUGUAGCGGUGAAAUGCAUAGAUAUCACGCAGAACUCCGAUUGCGAAGGCAGCAUACCGGCGCCCAACUGACGCUCAGGCACGAAAGCGUGGGUAUCGAACAGGAUUAGAUACCCGGGUAGUC